AUAUCAUGGUUAGGGCAAUUUACGAGCAUUUCUUUGAAUCUUUCCUAUGCUUUAAACCAAUGUUCUUCAUGAAAUUGAUGGAAAUUAACAAUUUCAUCUCGUAAUAU